CUUUAUUCUCCCCUUCUAGCUGAUGGCUGACCACACCACCAUGCAGCUGCUUACUUUUGGUAUUCUGAGCUUCUGCCUUUACGCCUGGAGCUUCUCGUUGACGUCUCUCCCUGGUCACACCGUUUACCUGAACUGCUCAGGUGCCAACAGCAGUGUCGGCCCAGCGAUGCUCUGGUACAGGCAGCUCCCCAGGCGGCCACCUCAACCCAUACUGCAAACCUUCAGCCCUGACCGUGCACUCCACUUCCCAUACUUUAAUUUCGGAGGACAUUUUCUCUCAAUGAAGAAUCACACUCUAGUCAUCCAGAACGUCACACAAGAAGACACUGCGACUUAUUACUGCUCACAGCUAGAGAGGGAGGUGUGCCGCUUCAGUGACGGGAUCGAGCUGCGAGUGGAUGGCUCAACGGAAAUGAGGGGGACACUUGAAGGGUGUGCCAUUGAGCCCCAAACCCCAUAUCCAAUAACACAAUCAUGGCUUCAGUUGAGUGUUGCCCGCUGCCUCCCGACUCUGACUCACCUACCUAAGGUCGAGCGGCCUCCUUUUAUCUUGGAGUACUUCCUGUGCUAG